UACAGAGGGGGCAAGCGUUAUUCGGAAUUACUGGGCGUAAAGGGCGCGUAGGCGGUUCUUUAAGUCAGGCGUGAAAGCCCUGGGCUCAACCUGGGAGUGGCGCUUGAUACUGGAGGACUAGAGAGUGGGAGAGGUUGGUGGAAUUCCCAGUGUAGAGGUGAAAUUCGUAGAUAUUGGGAAGAACACCGGUGGCGAAGGCGGCCAACUGGACCAUUUCUGACGCUGAGGCGCGAAAGCGUGGGGAGCAAACAGG
rnacentral:rRNA from 1 species